rnacentral:rRNA from 1 species
AGCUCCAAUAGCGUAUAUUAAAGUUGUUGCAGUUAAAAAGCUCGUAGUUGGAUUUGUGGUUGUCUGUGGCCGUUCGUCACUUUUGUGGAGCAAUGGCUUGCAGUCACCAUCCUUGGGUGGAUCUUGUGUGGCAUUAGGUUGUCGUGCAGGGGAUGCCCAUCGUUUACUGUGAAAAAAUUAGAGUGUUCAAAGCAGGCUUAUGCCGUUGAAUAUAUUAGCAUGGAAUAAUAAGAUAGGACCUUGGUACUAUUUUGUUGGUUUGCGCACCAAGGUAAUGAUUAAUAGGGACAGUUGGGGGUAUUCGUAUUCCAUUGUCAGAGGUGAAAUUCUUGGAUUUUUGGAAGACGAACUACUGCGAAAGCAUUUACCAAGGAUGUUUUCAUUAAUCAAGAACGAAAGU